AUAGCGUAUAUUUAAGUUGUUGCAGUUAAAAAGCUCGUAGUUGGAUUUCGGGUGGGCGGUGCCGGUCCGCCGUUUCGGUGUGCACUGGCAGCGCCUACCUUGCUGCCGGGGACGGGCUCCUGGGCUUAACUGUCCGGGACCCGGAGUCGGCGAGGUUACUUUGAGUAAAUUAGAGUGUUCAAAGCAGGCCUACGCUCUGAAUACAUUAGCAUGGAAUAACACGAUAGGACUCUGGCCUAUCUUGUUGGUCUGUGGGACCGGAGUAAUGAUUAAGAGGGACAGUCGGGGGCAUUCGUAUUUCAUUGUCAGAGGUGAAAUUCUUGGAUUUAUGAAAGACGAACUUCUG
rnacentral:rRNA from 1 species